rnacentral:rRNA from 1 species
UACAUAGGGUGCGAGCGUUAAUCGGAAUUACUGGGCGUAAAGCGUGCGUAGGCGGUUAUUUAAGUCGGGUGUGAAAGCCCCGGGCUCAACCUGGGAAUUGCAUUCGAGACUGAAUAGCUAGGGUACGGUAGAGGGAAGCGGAAUUUCCGGUGUAGCGGUGAAAUGCGUAGAUAUCAAGAGGAACACCUGAGGUGAAGACGGGUUGCUGGGCUGACACUGACGCUGAGGCGCGAAAGCCAGGGGAGCAAACAGG